CCUACGGGUGGCUGCAGUAGGGAAUAUUGCUCAAUGGGGGAAACCCUGAAGCAGCAACGCCGCGUGAGGGAUGAAGGUUUUCGGAAUGUAAAAUCCUUUUGUUAGGGAAGCAAAUGACGGCACCUGACGAAUAAGCCCCGGCUAACUACGUGCCCGCCGCCGCCGUAAUCAGGAGGGGGCAAGCGUAAUUCGGAAUAACGGGGCGUAAGGGGCGCGUAGGCGGGAUAAGAAGUCUGGUGUGAAAUCCUAUGGCUUAACCAUAGAACUGCAUUUGAAACUGGUCUUCUAGAGUGUGGGAGAGGUAGGUGGAAUGCUGGGUGUAGCGGUAAAAUGCGUAGAGAUUAAGAAGAAUACUCAUUGCGAAGGCGACCUGCUGGACCGUAACUGACGCUGAUGCGCGAAAGCGUGGGGAGCAAACAGGAGUAGAUACCCCGGUAGUC
rnacentral:rRNA from 1 species